rnacentral:rRNA from 1 species
AUCCCUUUCCCCCUCCCUUCCUUCCAGUCUACUCCUUCUCCUCCUCCACCUCUCCCAAAUCACCGAACCCCGCGAAAUCGGCAGAUUUGCGCCGCGGGAGCGCGCCGCGACGGGUCGAUGGCCGCCGCCGCGUUCUCCAUCAGGGCGUACGCGGCGAGCAUGAGGGGCGGGACGGCGGGGGGGCGGCGUCUCUUGGGAAUCGAGGAUCUCCCGCCUCUCGGAGCGCCGAGGUGCCGGUGGUGGGCGGACGAGCUCGCCUCCACCGUGGCUGCCGCAGCUGCGGCGGCGGCAUCCUCGAGGAGGGCGCAAGUGAAGGCGAAGCCGCCGAAGAAGCGGUCCAUCUCCGACCUCUUCGCCGCGGCGCCCCCCUUGGCCGUGCCUCCCGCCGGUGAUACCGGAUGCAAAGAGCAAAUGGAGGUGGACGGCGACGAGGCGGUGUGCGCGAUCGCGAGGCGGGCCAAGGAGGAUAAGAAACGAAAGAAAAAGCUGCAAGAAGAGGAAGAGGGGCAGAAGGAGGAGACGACGGCAGUGGAUGCCGCGCCGGAGAGCUGCGGAGGCCGAGAGGCCGAGGGGAAUUUCGCUGCAAGAAAGGAAGCACUUGAAAAUCCAAACCUGUUUGAUGGACUGGAUACUCACUCAUUACAGAAACCUGAGGCUUCACAACAUCACAGAGAAGAGAGAGAAAAGAUAUCUGAGAGAAGGAAGCAGGGGAAGAUCAAUAAUAUAAACAAGAAGAAGGCUAACACACAAAAGCACAUCGGCAACAGUAAAGCUGACAAAGUGGGGAAACCACGAGAUCUGGAAAAUUUUAUCCCUAGGCAUGGCAUUCUAAAGUGCACAAAGCACACAUCAGUGAAAAUGGUCAAGGAGAAACGUGGCAAUUCAGAAGGCAAGGAAGUAAUAGAACUCUGCCGCAAAUCAGUGAAACGUGUCAAAUUCUCAGAAGCAGAUGCUAUACUUGAGCUACCAGAACGACAAACUCUCUGCAAGAUGUUUUCAGAUAUUAUGGCUUCUUCAUCGUCGUCCUCGUCAUCAUCAUCAUCAUUCACGUCUACCGAAGGAGACAAAUGCAUAACUGCAGAAAGUGGUGGUUCUCAUAUGCCCAUGGAAGCUUCCACUAAGGCGAAAGCAAAUAAGAAUUCAGAUCAUGAGGAUUCUCCUGACAAAAGCAUAACUGCAGAAAGUGGUACUUCUCAUAUUGCCAUGGAAGCUUUCACUAAGAAGAAAGAAGCAAAUAAGAAUUCAGAUCAUGAGGAUUCUCCUGAGGCUGGUAACAGAGAGAUGGCUGCUCCUCUCAUUGAUCUGAAUAUGGUGUUACCGGAAUCUACUGAACUGGACCAAAGGUAUGAUUCAUAUUCAGAGGUGCCAAAUCUGGAGCAUACACAUGAGGAAACUUAAGUUCUAUUGUCCAAUUGCAUGAUGGGAGAGAAAACCUGAAGAUUUUUUCUGUUGAUUCACAUAGGCUGGAAAGCGAACAAUCUACUGCUGACUUGGAAAGAAUAACGAAUUCAAGUUCGGCAGGCACAUUAUUGCAUGGUGGGGCUAUAAAAGUUUCUGAUGUAGAUGCUGCUGGUUCUCCAUUGAGCUUAACUGAACUUGCACAGACUCAUCGUGGUUGCAGUAAUGUUUCAGUAAAAGAUACUAUGACUAUGAGUACAUCUCCUUGUGCAUUGCCAGAUCAUACAUUUCCGGAUUCAUUUCGGCAGCACCAGAGUUGGUUUUCCACAAGCGGCAAAUUUUCUUCCUGGCCAUCUCAUGAAUCUAAUGUGUCACACAGUAAGGAGUUCAAUUUUCGUUCUGAGUUGAACAUUCCGCGUGAGAAUGGACCUUCCACAGGACCGACAGUUCGUUUGAUGGGUAAAGAUCUUUCAAUUUGCACGACCAGAGCUGAAUCGUUUUCGGAGACUGCGCAGAAGCAUACAGGUACUUUUACCAAUGACUAUCUCAACGCAAAUGUGUUCUUGCCACAACAAGGACGGCCUUUUCUCUCUUUACAAGCUCAGAAUUUCCCCAAUGAUACAGCAAAUUCUACCAGUAUAAUUCAUGCUUCAACAUAUCAUGCAAGCGCAAGUCAGGCACAGACUAGACAUGAUUACGGCCACCCCGUCCCGGCAGCUAAUUUUCUUUCUGGAGAUCAGUUGACAUAUGAAAACAGGUUUUUUGAUUUUUCAAACUCGCAGACCAAUCAGCCUUUUCUGUUGGGGUGCCCACAUCCUCCCAAUCGUGGCAGUGCAGCAUUCCAACAGAAUUCCCCGUUGCGCCGUUAUUACUCUGAUCCUAUCCCUAGGACAGAAGCACCCACAGCAUCACCUUUGCCUAUUACCAGACAGCAUGGUACACCAUCUUUCGGUUUCCAUGCCAAUUUGCCUCAGCAACAUGUUGUGCAUCCAGCAAGCUCGUCAGUUUGUCGUCUUAAUUCUGUGGAUUUUACAUUCAACCAUCCAGACCGGGUAGUUCAUACACCUUCCAACAGCAUAAGAGAUGCAACCCUUUCGGCAAGAAAUACAGAUAGCACAGUGGGGAGCGCUGUUCUUGGCAAUUUUAAUGCUUCACCUAGUGGUCGGUAUGUGCAGAAGAGAUCAGGCCCAGUGAAGCUCACUCCUGGGGCGAAGCAUGUACUGGUGCCAAACGAUAGCACAGGUGACGGCGAUUCUACGCCUGUGUACUCUUGUGUUUCGUUUGAUAGUAGGAGCACAAAUGCUGCAGGUCCUCAGAACAAAGGAGCAUGAUGCCCUUAGUGGAACUUUUGCUUGGUUGCAGUUGCAUGAAUCUAUAAAACAUCGGCACUGUUUUUAUUCAGUUUCAUUCAUUUAGUUGGAACCUUUUGAAAAAUGUUUGUUACAUUUUUUUGUUUUAACAGUUGGGAUGUUUCAAAUGCUGCUUCGUUAGUAGUUAUUUCGUCAGCUGAACCUGAAUCCAUGGCUGGUGUAGCCUAAGACAUGUAGUCUGUUAUAUUUCUGUAUUGUUACUCUUGGUCUGAAAGUUAAAUAGAUGUUAUUGGCACAAAAUGUUACCUACAUAUUUGCAAGGUUCAUUUUCAAUAGAGCAGGCCCCGAGCUCAUGC